UACACUAGUGAAAGGAUAGAACACCAAAGAAUACUUGUUUGUGUCAUACGUGGUAUUAAAAGAAAUAGAGUCACCAAACAACUGAAAAUCGUUCCUACCUAUAGGAUAUGCCCAAAAUGCUCGUGUUAGAUGCCUAUUUGCAUCAACACAAUAAUAAUAAAAAAAAUAACCACCCACACUCCCCUGCCCUGCAAACACCCAUUUCCUAAAGUCAGUCUUGAAUUCAAUGCUGAACUCCGCCCUGAACUUCAGAUUGAAUUCAGUUUUGAAAUUCAGUUCUGAAAUUCAAUUCUGAAUUCAAAUCUGAAUCUAGUUCUGAAAUUCAGUUUUGGUUCGGUUAUGAAAUUCAUUUAUGAUCUUCAGUUUACAUGUUCGUUUUUUAACUAAAUUACGGUAGCUAUUUUAUUUUUAAAAUAAUACAUAGUAUAUGUCCCUUAUGUUAUCAAGUUAGAGGAAUUUCAGUGUGUAACUGUACCUGAUAAACACAAAGACAUAGGACUUGCAACCAGUUUAUCCCCUUUACGAAGCUUAUUAGUUUUGAUUCUUUAUAAGUUUAUGUUAAGCUUCCUCUAGCAAGAUAGUAGUGUAUACUAAAUUUUACCUCAAAAUUUUUUGUAGGAAUUGAGUGAAAAAAAUCGUGUGAGGGCAAAGAAGAAGACCUCAAAGUAUUAAGGAGGCCGAAAGUUUGACAUAUAUUGUAUAUGUAACUACCAUAUAUACAGUAUGGGUGUUGAAAUUUUCUAUUCUUAUAAUUAAAACAUAAGUCUAAAUUAAUUUUGUACAAUGCCAGGAAAAAGAACUUGAAAAACAGGGAGUCCAUGUGUCACAAGUGCCUCGACACUUGACUUGGAUCAGAGCUCAUUCUCAGGUCAAAGAUGGAAUUGUAACUUCUGAAAAUCCAGUCGAUAGGGAAAUCCAUGAAGCUAUUAUUGCAGUGGAGGCUCAAGCUCAAAGAGGAGAAUUCGCUUGUAAUGGUCGGGAUGAUAUAUUAGAUGGAGCAUUGAAUAAGCAUGAGCAUGGUGGUUCAGUGAGGGCAGUUGGAUCAGGCAUCACAAAUAAAGGAAUAUUUUGGCUUUAACAAACCAACUGCACCGAGCCAAUUGUAUGCCAAAAUCGGCAUGAUGCAAUCAGAGAUGGGAACUAUGAAAAAUAGUCAGAAUUUAUUAUUGUCUUUCAUCAUGUCAUGCUUAAAUCAGGAGCAAUUGAAAUCGUUCAUGGCCAUUUUUGGUCAAUCCAGUGCUUUUGGUCAAUUUGGCAAUGUUGGUAGUCAGCCUGCUUUUGGUGGUCCGUCUGGUUCUGGUGGUUAGUCUGGUCAUGGUCAACAGGUUGGUUCUUCUGGUAGGACUGGUUUUGGUGGUCAAAUUGGUUCUGGUGGACAGUUUGGUUUUGGUGGUGACGCUGGUUCUGGUGGUCAGUUUGGUUUUGGUAAGCAAGCUGAAUUCGGUGGUUUUGGUGGUCUUGAUGGUAACAGGUUAGGUUUUACCCAAUUAAAUAAUUCGGUUGACCAUGGAUUGCUUAACAUUCCACUUACACAACUACUAACUAGAGUGGUUGGGCGACAACAAAGUGAAGGUCAUCAAUUGUUAGAGUCUCAAUCUUAGGAUGCUGCUUAUGUUUCACGUGGUAAUGAGGCUCAGAUAAGUCCUCCCGUGCACCAGGUUCAUCUUCAAAGCCCUGAGGCCGAGAUGUACCAUGUUUCUUGGCCUCAAACAGAGCAAAUUAAUUAACCUGACCAUGCACAUCAGAACAAUCAUGAUGAUUUCACAGCUGAUCAACUCACUUUUCCUGAGGCUGGAGUGAUUGUCAACUGGAUAUUGAGGAUGGCAAUAAAGGACAUGUAAUUGUUGCUAAUGGGAAGGUCUAUAUAGAGAAGGCAAAAGGUAUCAGAAAUCAUGUCCAAUCACUACCCCCCCGGUCACCGCCGAGUCUAUUAUAUAAGAUAUUGUGCCGAAUGCUCCCUUGCCAUGUCCAAACGAAGAAUUAAUCUUUGUCUGCCAAGCUAAGAAGAGUUACAAUGCUUGGCCAAUGCACUUGAUUCUUCCAGUUAAGGCUGAUGUGCACCUGGAAAAAGACGUGACUACUCCAUCCCCAGGAUCGGCAUCAUCCCAAACAUCAACCACUGACAUGUAUCUUUUCACUGCUGAAGAUUGUGAAAAAGUGACUACUAGUUGGAGAAAAAAAUCGUUAAAAACUCAUGCUUUGGGAAUGAAAAAGAGGAGUGAAUCCAUCUCCUUAAGUUUCCAGAAAAGUGUAUUUCUGACUGAAAAUGUGGUUAAUGUUACUCUUGACUACGAAGAUUUGCUUAAUUGGUGUUCCCAGAAAGAGAUAGGAGCAGCUCACUUGAAUAUUUUCAUGAAUACUUGAAAGAACAAUGUCAAGAAGGAAUUUCGGGUAUGUUUGGAUUUUGCGAUUCCAAUGUUCUAUCCCCAAUGACUCCAACAAUAGAAGAGGAAAACCCGUCUAAAUACUUAGCUCGUGUCUUUGGGUGCAAUGAGGGAAAGAAUCGUAAUCAAUUAUUCUUUGCACCUUUUAAUGAGAAUCGGAAUUGGAUGUUAGCUGUUAUUAGCCCUUGGAAUGGGUCAGUCUAUUGGUUGGAUCCAGGUGGAGCAGACAAUAUACCUGAGUUUGCUAAAACAGUCAUCAAUGAGGGAAUCAAACAAUUUAGCGUUUUCCAUCGCAAGGAUAUCAAGGAAAUAAAAAAGGAUGCAUAUAUUGGGUGGAAGCAACCAAAGUUCUUUACUCAAGAAGCUUAUUCAUCAGAAGAAAUUGAUGAGAUACGAGACAUUUGGGUUGAAUAUUUGCUUAAGCAACUAAAUUAAGCUAAUGAAGAAGUCAAAGACGGUAGUAUGCUCCUAACACUCGUGGGCGGAAUUGGAAUUGCUAAGUGGAGUUGAAGUUGCUAGAGUAGCUUGUUCCAAGGAAAGGAGAUGCAAAAGGGAAAGGGUGCACUGCCAUAGCAGCCGCGAGCGCGAGCGCUGUUGUCGCGGGCGCGGACAGGAAUGCUAUGCCACGGGGCGCGGGUGCCAUUGCUGCAGGCGCGGACAGAGGUCCUGAGCUGAAGACCCAGUUUCUGGAGAUGGCUGGGAGAUGGCAAGGAGAGGGCGCGACCUUGAUGGCCGCGGGCGCGGCGAGCUGGGUUUUUCCAACUACGUACCCACAACAGAGAGGGCGCGAUAGCCUUUCUAGAGAGGCCUCUCCCUCACCCAUUUUCUUUGUUUUAAGCAAGAAACUAUAUAUAGUGUUUAGCAUGAAUUUCAUGAAAAAUUUUGGACUAUCAUUCACUAUUCCAUUGAAAAAUAUUGUAGAGAGAGAGCAUCAACAUUCUAGAGAGAGAAAGUAGCUUAACCUUCAAGUUUCCAUUGUUGUAAUCAAGAUAUUUUCAAGUUUUCUUCAAGCUUUCAUCUUUUCAAUACAACUAGUCCAUGUUUGCUCGAUCCUUCAAGGUUAAUAGUAGUAAUCUCUUUAUCCCUUAUCUUUUAUUUGGUUUUAUUGCUCUUAAUAGUGUUUAUUUUCAUAAAGUUCCUUGUUUUUACUUAUUUCAUUGCUUUUUCUUUGGUUUUGAAUCAUGUUUAGUUUUGUUGGGAUUAAAUACAUGUUUAGUAUAGUUAAUAUGGCUAUCUUCCUUUCUCUAGCUUAGAUUUCUGGCUAGGGAAGGGGGUGAAAAUCAUGAUUGAUUGAGUUUAUAUUGAUGUUUGAUUGGGUUUUGCUUUGAGUUGAUGAGUUUGUGCUUAUUAUGCUUGGAGCUAGUGUUGUGCACCUCUAUCCCCAAUAUUUGAAUUCUAGAUUAGAUGCAUGAGAAUGAUCUAAUUUAAGUUUGAUCGAUUUCAUUGACUUGCUUUGAG